rnacentral:rRNA from 1 species
UACGGAGGGUGCAAGCGUUAUCCGGAUUCACUGGGUUUAAAGGGUGCGUAGGUGGGCAAGUAAGUCAGUGGUGAAAUCUCUGGGCUUAACCCGGAAACUGCCAUUGAUACUAUUUGUCUUGAAUACUGUGGAGGUCAGCGGAAUAUGUCAUGUAGCGGUGAAAUGCUUAGAUAUGACAUAGAACACCAAUUGCGAAGGCAGCUGGCUACACAAAUAUUGACACUGAGGCACGAAAGCGUGGGGAUCAAACAGG